rnacentral:pre_miRNA from 1 species
UCACCGUGGAUGCUUAUCAUUGGGACGGCUGAGAUGUCAAUAAUUUACCUUUUGAACUUCAGGUCUUUCGCGAUAUUUCACAACAGUCUUUCAAUACCAUUGGUAGGUAACUACCACACACA